rnacentral:rRNA from 1 species
UAGGGAAUCUUCGGCAAUGGACGAAAGUCUGACCGAGCAACGCCGCGUGAGUGAAGAAGGUUUUCGGAUCGUAAAACUCUGUUGUUAGAGAAGAACAAGGAUGAGAGUAGAAUGUUCAUCCCUUGACGGUAUCUAACCAGAAAGCCACGGCUAACUACGUGCCAGCAGCCGCGGUAAUACGUAGGUGGCAAGCGUUGUCCGGAUUUAUUGGGAGUAAAGCGAGCGCAGGCGGUUUCUUAAGUCUGAUGUGAAAGCCCCCGGCUCAACCGGGGAGGGUCAUUGGAAACUGGGAAACUUGAGUGCAGAAGAGGAGAGUGGAAUUCCAUGUGUAGCGGUGAAAUGCGUAGAUAUAUGGAGGAACACCAGUGGCGAAGGCGGCUCUCUGGUCUGUAACUGACGCUGAGGCUCGAAAGCGUGGGGAGCAAACAGG